CACUGUUAGGAAGUUUCAAAGGAAUCAUAAAAAUUUUGUAGAGAUUUGGAGAGUAAAAAUGUAGUAUCAAGAUCCAACAAAUAGUGCUAUGCGGCUGAAAUUUUACAGUGUAGAUUUUCAAGUAUAGCAGAUUAGACGUAAAAGAUCAACGGUUUAUAUUGAGAAUUUUUUGACAAAACCAAAGGGAAAUCUGCUAUUAGGAAGUGUCAAAGCUGUCAUAAAAAAUUCGUAAGAUUUGGAUAGAAAAAACAUAGUAGCAAGAUCAAACAAUCU
rnacentral:lncRNA from 1 species